rnacentral:lncRNA from 1 species
AUGUCUCGAACGUAUCAAAAAUUGCAAGUUCUACAAUACGCGACUAAUGGUCCACUCAAACAAAGAAACAUGUGAAUGUAAAUCUAUGAUAUAUAAGUGGCUCAAACCUCACGUAUAAGGGUAUGAUAUGUGAUAUGCAUACAUUAAUAGCUCCUUAGGCGAAUUAUUCCCAAAUAACCACCCACUAAAUACCCGUUAUGCUUAUUAGUUCGAACUUGACCAUGACAAAAGACCAAAUGGGUUGUGACAUCCCUCGUUGACUUGGUUACUUGUGCUUUUGAGAUUGCUUUGAAAACAAGACAUUUUUGAAAAAUUCUUGAAAUUUUCCCCCAUCCCCACACUUGAGGUAAACAUUGUCCUCAGUGUGUAGUGUUUAAAUGAACGGGUCAAAAUCGAAAAUUUUUACUCCUCCCCCAUCCCCACACUUGAGGUACAUAUUGUCCUCAAUGUGUAGGAAAUAGAGUUUUAAAAACGCACAAGGGAUGUGACACGGCUAACCUCCCCAAAAUUACACCCCGGGAAAUAAAAUACAAUUUACAAUCCACUUAUUUGCUAACUAAAAAUCAAAGAUAAAAAGAAACGUAUGCACCUGGUUUUUCGCUAGUUCCUCGUGUGCUCUUCAUCUUUUCAACAAAGCGGUCGUCUCACGAACAUGAUGUACCUACAAAUCUUAACCCUUGUGUAGAAGCAUGCUUCUCACAACCAUCAAAAUUUGUUAGUUACCUAGUUCUACCACUUUUAUGAAAUUAUUACCAAGCCAUACAUUAUUUUACUUUUGACUUUAUGUGGAAAACAUUUUACAACAACAAAAAACCUAACUCACUUUCGUAGGAAUCACGACGGCAUUUAGCAUAUGCACGCAAGCCCUUUAAACCUCCCGAUAGCUCGGGAGGACGAGUCGGUCUCGUGAGGGUUAUAUAGGGAACACACCCACAAAGUUCAUUUA